AUUGAACGCUGGCGGCAGGCUUAACACAUGCAAGUCGAGCGGAGAUGAGGUGCUUGCACCUUAUCUUAGCGGCGGACGGGUGAGUAAUGCUUAGGAAUCUGCCUAUUAGUGGGGGACAACAUUCCGAAAGGAAUGCUAAUACCGCAUACGUCCUACGGGAGAAAGCAGGGGAUCUUCGGACCUCGCGCUAAUAGAUGAGCCUAAGUCGGAUUAGCUAGUUGGUGGGGUAAAGGCCUACCAAGGCGACGAUCUGUAGCGGGUCUGAGAGGAUGAUCCGCCACACUGGGACUGAGACACGGCCCAGACUCCUACGGGAGGCAGCAGUGGGGAAUAUUGGACAAUGGGGGGAACCCUGAUCCAGCCAUGCCGCGUGUGUGAAGAAGGCCUUAUGGUUGUAAAGCACUUUAAGCGAGGAGGAGGCUACUGAGACUAAUACUCUUGGAUAGUGGACGUUACUCGCAGAAUAAGCACCAGCUAACUCUGUGCCAGCCGCCGCGGUAA
rnacentral:rRNA from 1 species